UGGAUGCAUAUGACCUGCUACCUUGCUCCUGCCUACCUCUAGGCACAGAAACACAAGCAGAUAACAGUGCUGGCAUAGAUGAACAAUCUUGAUACUGAGGGCGACUCCCUCUCUACGAUCUAGUCUGACCCAGUCUGUGUUGCUCAUACCUAGCUCUCUUAGUCCCUCUCAUUCUAUCUCUCUCCUUAAUCUUAUCUACCUCAAUCUGUUGGACAUGAGUCAUCAGCCUAGAAAGAUUUAUCUCACUCUUCAGCAUAGCAUACCUACACUUCUUAACCAUAUAAUUAGACACUCUAGUCACAAACUUACUCAUACUAGC
rnacentral:lncRNA from 1 species